UGCCGCGUGCAGGAUGAAGGCCUUCGGGUUGUAAACUGCUUUUGUACGGAACGAAAAGACUCCUUCUAAUACAGGGGGUCCAUGACGGUACCGUAAGAAUAAGCACCGGCUAACUACGUGCCAGCAGCCGCGGUAAUACGUAGGGUGCAAGCGUUAAUCGGAAUUACUGGGCGUAAAGCGUGCGCAGGCGGUUAUGUAAGACAGAUGUGAAAUCCCCGGGCUCAACCUGGGAACUGCAUUUGUGACUGCAUAGCUAGAGUACGGUAGAGGGGGAUGGAAUUCCGCGUGUAGCAGUGAAAUGCGUAGAUAUGCGGAGGAACACCGAUGGCGAAGGCAAUCCCCUGGACCUGUACUGACGCUCAUGCACGAAAGCGUGGGGAGCAAACAGGAUUAGAUACCCUGGUAGUCCACGCCCUAAACGAUGUCAACUGGUUGUUGGGUCUUCACUGACUCAGUAACGAAGCUAAC
rnacentral:rRNA from 1 species